AUGAACUCAGUAGAGUUAAUAUUAAUCAUGAAAGUUCUUUUUUGUUACACGAAGCCAAUCGAGUUGGUUUAAUGUCUAUUGUGCAAACGAAAACCAAAAUUGAACAUUCACGAAACAAGAAAAUAUAACAAAAUAGAAAUUCUCAUUACUGAAAAGGAAAGCUACAAGACAAGUAGUACUUGUAAACUAUAUCCAUUACAUGGGCAAAGGGCGUAUUAUGCAAAGUAAAAACUAAUAGUUACAAGGCGUCUUAUGCAAAGUAAAAACCAUUACAGGGUAGAAAGGCAUGUUCCAUGAAUUUAGUCAACCUGCAUAACCAUUGUUCCCAGGAAGAAUCCUUGACCCAAAGUAGCCUCUUAAAAUUGACCAGGCAUUUUCGAGAAGGAAAUACAUGAGGGCUUAUCACAACAUCUGGAACUGUCUUACAUGGUGAUUUAUCAUAGAUGGAUAUUUGAGGAAGACGCAAGAGCAUGACAGGCUUGCUAGCUUCCAAACCAUUCUCUGCUAGCCUUUGAAUCAAAUGUAAUGAAA
rnacentral:lncRNA from 1 species